rnacentral:rRNA from 1 species
AGUGAACGCUGGCGGUAGGCCUAACAUAUGCUAGUCGAACGGCAUCACAGUAAGAGCUUGCUCUUACGGGUGGCGAGUGGCGGACGGGUGAGGAAUACAUCGGAAUCUACUUUUUCGUGGGGUAUAACGUAGGGAAACUUACGCUAAUACCGCAUACGACCUCCGGGUGAAAGCAGGGGAUCUUCCGACCUUGCGCGAUUGAAUGACCCGUUGUCGGAUUAGCUAGUUGGCGGGGUAAAGGCCCACCAAGGCGACGAUCCGUAGCUGGUCUGAGAGGAUGAUCAGCCACACUGGAACUGAGACAAGGUCCAGACUCCGAAGGGAGGCAGCGGUGGGGAAUAUUGGACAGUGGGAGCAAGAAUGAUCCAGCCAUCCCGCGUGGGUGAAGAGGGCCUUAGGGUUGUAAAGCCCAUUUGUUGGGAAAGAAAAGCAGCAGGUUAAUACCCCGCUGUUCUGACGGUCCCCAAAGGAUAAGCCCCGGCUAACUUCGUG